CUCCGUGAUAUGUGUUGGGUCCCCGCUAUAAUAACAGCAACAUUCACAAAUGCCGAUGUAACAGGGUUAAAAAGAGUACUUAAUUUAAGAGUUUUGAUGUGUGAAUUUCAUAAAAUAAGCAUUUGGUUAAAUUCAUUGGUGUUCAAAGGCUCCCCUCCUGUGGCUAUUAAUGGUACUGCAGACAGUGUAUUUUGUCGCUCUUCUCUUGCCGUACUCCAGCAGAUUUGAGUGUCGCUGCUGUGGUCUUGAAUGUCUGCAGUAGUUUAUCUUCAGCCAAAGUGAUUUGUGCCAUUUUAUUUCCAAAAGAUAAAGGCAAGCACAAGGAAACCCACGUGUGAGUGUGUUUGUUCACGUCUGUUACACUGGUGCCGUGACUCCUUGGAUCCUUUGAUCAGCUCGACGCAGA